GUUGCAGAAAAAUGGUUAAAAUAAGCAAAAAUUGGUUCAAAUUAUUAAAAAAAAAGAAAAUCAGUCAAAAUGUUUCAAAAAUAUUGGCAAUUAAAAAUGAAAAUAGGGAAAAUAUCCAACAUUUAUUUAACAUAGUUGGGAAUGAGAAACAAAAACACUAUUUCACAAUAAGACGUCAUCAAGAAUCAUGUUUUCAAGCAAUUGUUUGAUCAUUGCCUUGAAAAUUAAAUAAAUAAAUGUAUUUUGUGGGAAAAAGACAUAUUUUCAACCAAGCUGACGAUCGUCGUGGAAACUGUAACCUGUGUGUGUGUGUGUGUGUGUCCUCAGGUGAUGGAGAUAGACUUCAGUGGUUCUUUGUCCUCAGAGGGCAGGACUGGUUAGUGGGAGUGUAUAAAAAAUAAAAAGCCCUAUAAAAGCCAUGCAGGGCUUUAAUCUCCCAGUCCUCCCAGUGCAGCUGUUUAUCCACUCCAUCAUCAUGCUUGUUCGAGCUGUGCUGCAGACGUCCCUCCUCCUCUGGUUGGCUCAGCAGACUCUGCAAGGCGCUGUUGCAGGAGUCCAACCUCAGAGUGUGUCAUGGGGACAAGGACUGCCAGCUAGAGGUCUGGGUGUUGGAGUGAAACCUGGAGACGUCAGCGCUCUCGGAGCCGUGGCAAAUCGAUUUGAAAGCAAAGCAAUGAAAGCUGGACUGGGACGUUACGGCGGCGCUCAGCUUGGACUUGGAGGAUACAGGACUCUUGGAUUAGGAGGGAGAGCUGGUAUGAGACAUGGCGGCUACGGGGUUCAAGGAGUCUACGGUGCUGGUCUUGGUACAGGAAUGGGUCUAGGGACUGGACUCACGAACGGGCUUGGUUUGGGUUUGGGUCAGGGUGGAAAACGAGUCUAUGGGACUGGCCUGGGAACUGUACCUGGAUAUGGAGCUUUGGGAGCGAUUGGCUAUCCCGGGCUUCGUCCUGGACACUCACAGUAUCCCAGUGGACAAGGGUCCAAGCAGCCAAAAACGGGUUUGGGUCCAGCUGAGACGGACAACCUGAGCCAAACUGUUCCAGAUCUUAGGAGAGAAAGGAUCAGAGCUGGAGUUCCCACAAUUCGAAAACCAAACAAAGGGCUUGGACCUGAAAUUCAAGGUCUACUCAGGCCAAAUGUUCCUGAAUCGAAUUACCAGAGAGAGCGCAAAAGUAUUAAUUUUUUAAAUCGUGGUGAAUCCACGACUCCUCUUAACGUACACACCACACACCGUAGAGAAAGCCAUGAAUCUACAGCCCUUAAGAUUAAAGGUUUUACACCAGCAGCUGAAAGUGCAGGAAGACAACCUUCGGUUAAUCAAGAACCCAUCAGACGUACAACCUCGGCUUCUUCUCAGACACCGAUCAUCAGAAACAACGAUCGGUUCCCCCUUAUUAAUCUGCGACCUCCAAACUGUGGACCGUCCGUUCAUGGAUCUGAUAGAUCCGAACUUCUUCGGCAAAAACUUGUUGGUUCACAAAGUUCCGUUCCUCAGCUGAACGUUGGCGUAGUCAGUCAACAAAAUGCUCACAGAGAUCAGCAACUACUUCCACAAGAUGUGAGGAGCAAUAUGUUCUCUACUCAGAAGUCCAGAGGGUUUUCAUCCACAGUUAUAGACAGGCAUGGCAGAGAGGGACCUUUAAGUAAGGACGCAGAAGGACCUGGGACUCGUAGGACUUUUACUUUGGAGCAGCAUCCACAUGAGUCGAUCAGUCUUCCAAGAAGUGGAAAUCCAGAACCUCUGAUUCCAGGAAUCACCUCCAUCGCCGGCCUGGAAGUCCAGCCCUCGACCACAGAAGGUUGGGAUGUGAAAGAAUUUUCCCAAAGUGUGCAUGACGUCAAAAAGUUAAAAACUUCCCCAGGGCAGGAUGGAACGAACGCCAAGGGAACAAGUUAUGGUGGCGGAGUAGGAAACUACCUGGGAACUGGCCUGGGUGCUGGAGGCUAUGGAGCAGCUUUGGGACAAGGCGGCUAUCUGGGAGGAGCUGCUGGAAAACUGGCAGCAGGAUACGGAGAUGGAAUGACUGGAUAUCUCGGACCCAUGGCAGGUUACGGGAAUGGUUACGGGGAUGCUUAUGGAGCUGGGCUCGGUUACCCUGCAGAUUUAGCCGUUGGUCUGGAGAACAAAGCAGGGAAAAGUGAAGGCCUCGGUACAGGAGGAUUAGUUGGUCCCCUGCAGGGAGCGUAUGGAGGAGCUGCUCAGGUGCCUUUUGCCAACACUCCAGUCCUUCCUGUGGGACUAGAAGGUGAUGGUGGUUAUCCGUACAACACUCAGCAGCUCAGUUUGACCGCUGAAGCUGCCAAAUCUGCCAGUAAAUAUGAAGCUGGUCCAGGAUUCAGAGCUCAACAAGCUGCAGGUUUGUUGGGACCGAAUCAAGACGUCUUGGGGGAGCAGACCGGAAAAUAUGGCGGUGUGAACGCAGCCCUUGGUAACGGUUACAAAGCCUAAUACAAACAACCUGGAGGUCCUCAGCUGGAUGGUCGAGCUCUGUACUACGUUGAGUGUAAUUCGUUUGUAAGGCUUUCCCUCUGUAUGUUUUUUUUUCUAUUUUGUUUUACAGUAUUGUUUGUUCCUCACUUUGUUUACUUCUGUCUCGUUUGUCUGAAACCUCGUGUAACCUCCUCCCAUAUCAUUUCUACAUGUCUUGUCGAGUUAUAAACACAUGUUACAUGCAGAAGUAGACAGAUUUUGUGUCAAUAUUCAAAAAAUUGGUUGUACUGUUGUGAUGACUCAGCAGUUUUAAAGACAAUAAAUGUCAUUGCCAAAUGUUGUAC
rnacentral:lncRNA from 1 species